UACGGAGGGGGCUAGCGUUGUUCGGAAUUACUGGGCGUAAAGCGUGCGCAGGCGGUCUUCCAAGUCAGUGGUGAAAGCCCGGAGCUCAACUCCGGAACUGCCAUUGAAACUGUGAGACUCGAGUACGAGAGAGGUGAGUGGAAUUCCCAGUGUAGAGGUGAAAUUCGUAGAUAUUGGGAAGAACACCGGUGGCGAAGGCGGCUCACUGGCUCGUAACUGACGCUCAGGCACGACAGCGUGGGGAUCAAACAGG
rnacentral:rRNA from 1 species